rnacentral:rRNA from 1 species
GAUGAACGCUAGCUACAGGCUUAACACAUGCAAGUCGAGGGGAAACGGCAUCGAAAGCUUGCUUUUGAUGGGCGUCGACCGGCGCACGGGUGAGUAACGCGUAUCAACCCUGCCCAUCACUUGGGAAUAACCUUCCGAAAGUAAGACUAAUGCACAAUGACAUCCCCAGAAGGCAUCCGAAUGGGAUUAAAGAGUUAUCGGUUAUGGAUGGAGCUGCGUCUGAUUAGCUAGUUGGCGGGGUGACGGCCCACCAAGGCAACGAUCAGUAGGGGUUCUGAGAGGAAGCUCCACCACAUCGGAACCGAGACACGGUCCACACUGCUACGGGACGGAGCAGUGUGGACUAUUAGUCACGGGGCGAGAGCCUGAACCAGCCAAGUAGCUUGUAGGAGUACUGCCCUAUGGGUUGUAAACUGCUUUUAUAAGGGAAUAAAGUGGGUAACUUGUGACUUCUUGCAUGUACCUUAUGAAUAAGGACCGGCUAAUUCCGUG